UACGAAGGGGGCUAGCGUUGCUCGGAAUCACUGGGCGUAAAGCGCACGUAGGCGGAUCGUUAAGUCGGGGGUGAAAUCCUGGAGCUCAACUCCAGAACUGCCUCCGAUACUGGCGAUCUUGGAGUCCGGGAGAGGUGAGUGGAACUCCGAGUGUAGAGGUGAAAUUCGUAGAUAUCUGCAGGAACACCCGUGGCGAAAGCGGCGCGCUGGACCACUACUGACGCUGAAGAACGAAAGCUAGGGGAGCAAACAGG
rnacentral:rRNA from 1 species